AAUGCUCAACACUUGGCAUAUACAAUAAAUGAUACAUUAGACUGUGUGAGAAUCUCUACGGGUCUGACCUCAACUACUUCUAACUUGAAGGUUCUUCUGAUAGGUCUAACUUUGACCCUCUUAGAAUGAUAUAACUCUGAAUUGGUCAAUAUACUAGGGACUAGAAGAACUAGAUUUAGGACUUGUCAUGUCUAUAAGUAUAAAAACUGAAACUUAAUCCUCUAGCUUCAUUUUAUUCUGCUCAGAAGGACUAUCCCCAAAUAGUCUUACGAUACCUCUAUGUGAGGUUACACGUGUUCUCUUUAUUUAACCAAUAAUAACAACCUACACUCUGAUUUCAAUAACUUAUAACCUGUAGCUCUGAUACCAACUGUGACAGCCCUCAAAUCCGGGGGUCUGGAUUUGGUGCCACGAGUAAAUAAAAAUAAUUUAAAACCAGUAUUUUUGAAAGAAAAUAAAAACAAGUAUUUCAGAACCUGGAUAUUUUUUUUAAAAAAUGAUUCAAAUUGAAAAUCAAUUUCACCCCCUGAAAACAGGAUCGCAUACAGAUUACAGUAUUGAAAUCAGAAACUAAAACUAUUAAAUCUUUAUUACAAAUUAAACUACAUUAUCAGCUAAACCUUGAUAAGAAGAGUAGCUGAUAACCAAAUAAACAAAUCUAAUUUCCAACUGAAUUGAAUUGCAGAACUCCAACUGCAUCUAGUCUUAAUGACAUCGUCCUGCAUACUCUACCUGACCAUUUGCUUGAAACUUAACCACUUGCAAUCCUUGUCUAGUCUUAAGUGAAUCAUCUUUAUUCCUAGCUGAAAAGGGUUAGAAGGAAUAGCAAGAAUGAGCAAUAAUGCUCAGCAAGAAUAUGAUAGGUGAAAGCCACAAGAUAUACAAAUUUAAGUGAAUCGGAAUGUUUGAAGUAAAAGUAAACUCUGGAUUAAAUAAUGAUGUUGUAAAUCAACAGUUCAGUACCAGGGUAUGAUAUAAAAAGAGUAAAAUGGUACACGAUGAUAAAACAGUUCUGCAUCAAUAUAUGAACUUAAAGCUGUAGAGUUAAAAAUGAAAUCAAUCAUCUUUUCAACAUAAGAUAAUCUCUUUUUCAAACUAUUCAUUGUUUCAUUGGGUUUUUAAAUAAGACACCAUGCUAUAGCCGAUGAUCAGUCGCACUAUAGUCCAUAGAACCUAGUCUUUUUCAAGCUAGGCCACACAAAUAUUACGAAAUCCGGUAUUCCGGGCUGAAGGAGCCACCUUUCACGCUGGGCCGGUGUCUGGGCCUCUUACGCAAACCUACCCAAUAUAGGUUUCAAAACUACAGCUUUAACAUUUUCAAGAAAAGGUUUAUUCCAUUAGAAGUAUACUUAUAACAGAUAAGCCUUACAGAGGAACUAAACCGAGUUAUGAAAACCAUUUAUAGAGAUUUUGAAAUCAUAUGCAUCAAUUUGGUAAGUCAACCUUUCAAAUCAAAAUCGCACCUCAGUCAUGCAUUUGCAGUAAGUAAAAGGAACGUGCACUUGCUUCUAAUUUGCAAGAGAAAGGUAAAAGUACUGACAGAAAUUCUAAAAUACGGAAUAUGGAUAUGAACACUUUUCUUUGAAUAAAAGAACUGUAUACUUGAUCUUUCCAAUAUAAGAGAGAGGUAGAAAUACUUGCCUCAAUACUGCGAACUUCCGUACUGACUAUACUCUGAUAGACUUUCUCUUGGAGCAACUUCGCCUUAUCGGGUUAUCCUGAACUCAGUGUUAUCGAAAGCAUUAAGCGCAUCGAGGCGCAAAACUCUCUGGAGCCUAGGCGCAAAGCGCAAAAGCGAG
rnacentral:lncRNA from 1 species